rnacentral:rRNA from 1 species
UUGCUGGGUGGAUUAGUGGCGAACGGGUGAGUAACACGUGAGUAACCUGCCCUUAACUCUGGGAUAAGCCUGGGAAACUGGGUCUAAUACCGGAUAGGAGCGCCCACCGCAUGGUGGGUGUUGGAAAGAUUUAUCGGUUUUGGAUGGACUCGCGGCCUAUCACUUGUGGUGAGGUAAUGGCUCACCAAGGCGACGACGGGUAGCCGGCCUGAGAGGGUGACCGGCCACACUGGGACUGAGACACGGCCCAGACUCGGGAGGCAGCAGUGGGGAAUAUUGCACAAUGGGCGCAAGCCUGAUGCAGCGACGCCGCGUGAGGGAGACGCCUUCGGGUUGUAAACCUCUUUCAGUAGGGAAGAAGCGAAAGUGACGGUACCUGAAGAAGCACCGGCUAACUACGUGCCAGCAGCCGCGGUAAUACGUAGGGUGCGAGCGUUAUCCGGAAUUAUUGGGC